rnacentral:rRNA from 1 species
GACGAACGCUGGCGGCGUGCCUAAUACAUGCAAGUUGAGCGCUGAAGGUUGGUACUUGUACCAACUGGAUGAGCAGCGAACGGGUGAGUAACGCGUGGGGAAUCUGCCUUUGAGCGGCGGACAACAUUUGGAAACGAAUGCUAAUACCGCAUAAAAACUUUAAACACAAGUUUUAAGUUUGAAAGAUGCAAUUGCAUCACUCAAAGAUGAUCCCGCGUUGUAUUAGCUAGUUGGUGAGGUAAAGGCUCACCAAGGCGAUGAUACAUAGCCGACCUGAGAGGGUGAUCGGCCACAUUGGGACUGAGACACGGCCCAAACUCCUACGGGAGGCAGCAGUAGGGAAUCUUCGGCAAUGGACGAAAGUCUGACCGAGCAACGCCGCGUGAGUGAAGAAGGUUUUCGGAUCGUAAAACUCUGUUGGUAGAGAAGAACGUUGGUGAGAGUGGAAAGCUCAUCAAGUGACGGUAACUACCCAGAAAGGGACGGCUAACUACGUG